ACGAACGCUGGCGGCGUGCUUAAAACAUGCAAGUCGAACGAGGUCCAUCCGCUCGCAAGAGUGGUGAAGACCUAGUGGCGAACGGGUGCGUAACACGUGAGGAACCUGCCCCGGAGACCGGGAUAACCUCUCGAAAGAGGAGCUAAUACCGGAUGUGCUCAUCGGAUCACCUGGUCUGGUGAGGAAAUGGAUUCCGCUCCGGGAUGGCCUCGCGGCCUAUCAGCUUGUUGGUGGGGUAACGGCCUACCAAGGCGACGACGGGUAGCUGGUCUGAGAGGACGAUCAGCCACACUGGGACUGAGACACGGCCCAGACUCCUACGGGAGGCAGCAGUUAGGAAUCUUGCGCAAUGGGCGAAAGCCUGACGCAGCAACGCCGCGUGGGGGAUGAAUGCUCUCGGGUUGUAAACCCCUUUCAGCAGGGACGAUUAUGACGGUACCUGCAGAAGAAGGACCGGCCAACUACGU
rnacentral:rRNA from 1 species